CCUGUAAGAUUUUGACAAAAUUUCAUCUCGGAUUUGAUUCAUGAUCAGGUUUAAAUUAUUUUAGACAUCUCUACCUUUCCCAUUUCUGUCAAUACCGAAGAAUCUCUGGAAGAAGAUCUAAAAACAAUCAGAUCUGGCGCUUUUUCAUUAAACGGAGUGUUGGUUUCAUGGCGAUUCUUUUUGAGCAGUCUACUGAAUAUCGCAGGUGUUUAUGCCAAUGUGAACUCUGUAUGUAAAUUGAAAAGGAGAUGAGACUAGAAAGCAUGAGACUUUGUGGUUGGAGUUUUGAAUUCUCGAAAACUUCUUGCAGGCCAUCUGUGAGAACAUUACCAAAAAGGUUAUCUGCUAAACUUACCUCUGCAAAUUUGGAUGUUACCCAACUGGAGCUUGGCGUGGUUGGUAUUUUUAUCAGUCUGUGCAAAUUAGGGUGGCAGUUUGGCUAUCAUAGACUCUGGAUUUUUUGGAUCUUUGCAGCGGUGUACAUAAUUGUACACAUCAAUGUAAAUUAAAAAAAUUUAAAAAUGAAAAUUAUAUAGUCAUAUGAGUACUCUUUUUGUAGCUCUCGGAAAGAGUUUUCCGAAUAUAUAAAGUUUGCG